AGCGAACGCUGGCGGCAGGCCUAACACAUGCAAGUCGAACGAACCCUUCGGGGUUAGUGGCGGACGGGUGAGUAACACGUGGGAACGUGCCUUUAGGUUCGGAAUAACUCAGGGAAACUUGUGCUAAUACCGAAUGUGCCCUUCGGGGGAAAGAUUUAUCGCCUUUAGAGCGGCCCGCGUCUGAUUAGCUAGUUGGUGAGGUAAUGGCUCACCAAGGCUACGAUCAUUAGCUGGUCUGAGAGGAUGACAAGCCACAUUGGGACUGAGACACGGCCCAAACUCCUACGGGAGGCAGCAGUGGGGAAUCUUGCGCAAUGGGCGAAAGCCUGAUGCAGCCAUGCCGCGUGGAUGAUGAAGGUCUUAGGAUUGUAAAAUCCUUUCACCGGUGAAGAUAAUGACUGUAGCCGGAGAAGAAGGACCGGCUAACUUCGUGCCAGCAGCCGCGGUAACAC
rnacentral:rRNA from 1 species